rnacentral:rRNA from 1 species
GUAGGGAAUAUUGGGCAAUGGAUGGAAGUCUGAACCAGCCAUGCCGCGUGAAGGAUGAAGGCCCUCUGGGUUGUAAACUUCUUUUAUCUGGGACGAAAAAAGGGUAUUCUUACUCACUUGACGGUACCAGAGGAAUAAGCACCGGCUAACUCCGUGCCAGCAGCCGCGGUAAUACGGAGGGUGCAAGCGUUAUCCGGAUUCACUGGGUUUAAAGGGUGCGUAGGUGGGUAUUUAAGUCAGUGGUGAAAUCGCCGCGCUUAACUCGGAAACUGCCAUUGAUACUAUUUACCUUGAAUGCACUGGAGGUAAGCGGAAUAUGUCAUGUAGCGGUGAAAUGCUUGGAUAUGACAUAGAACACCAAUUGCGAAGGCAGCUUACUACGGGGUGAUUGACACUGAGGCACGAAAGCGUGGGGAGCAAACAGGAUUAGAAACCCGUGUAGUCC